CACCACUCUGCAUACAGUACCACAUGUCGCUAUCACGCACAACCAUACGUAUGGACGUACUAUCCCUUUCUCCAUUGUCAAAUGGCUAUUUAAUUUCUUCCGGCACCCAUGCUAACAUGGUCUUGAAUGUAGAAGGGUUUGUUCCCACUGAUCUAUCAGGUCAAGUGAGCUGAAUCCUUCUUUGUUGGGCUCGAGUCUUGUUCUGUCCGUCUUGCUCGAGCAUGGUCUGAAUUGCAUGCUAGUGAACAGUCUUGCGUAGCGGGCUCUGGUGAAUUACGGCCUGACUCUACUACGUGGGACUCGCCUGUAGUCCGGGUGACAGAGACCCAUCGAUCAUCAAAGGAAAACAUGAAGGGUAUAUAUGAUCAUGAUUUUAAUUUGGUGGAUCGAAAAGGCAAAAUGGAUAAAAUUUACAAUCUACCCAAUACUUGGUUUGUUUCUCUUCUGCCUUUCACAAACUCAAACUCUAAAUUAUUUUACUCCUCAAAUAUGUUUUGUUGUUAUUAUUAUUAGUAUU
rnacentral:lncRNA from 1 species